UACGAAGGGGGCUAGCGUUGCUCGGAUUUACUGGGCGUAAAGCGCGCGUAGGCGGAUCGCUAAGUCAGGGGUGAAAUCCCAGGGCUCAACCCUGGAACUACCUUUGAUACUGACGGUCUGGAGAUCGGGGAGAGGUUGGUGGAAUUCCGAGUGUAGAGGUGAAAUUCGUAGAUAUUCGGAGGAACACCAGAAGCGAAGGCGGCCAACUGGCCCGAUACUGACGCUGAGGAGCGAAAGCGUGGGGAGCGAACAGG
rnacentral:rRNA from 1 species